CCCUAGAGGAGCCUGUUCCAUAAUCGAUAAACCCCGAUCCACCUCACCCUCUCUUGCUUAGCCUAUAUACCGCCAUCUUCAGCAAACCCUGAUAAAGGUUACAAAGUGAGCACAAACGCCCCGCCGCCGCAAAAACGUUAGGUCAAGGUGUAGCCCAUGAGAGGGUAAAAAUGGGCUACAUUUUCUACAUCAGAAAACCCCACGAAAACUCUUAUGAAACCUGAGAGUCCAAGGAGGAUUUAGCAGUAAAUUAAGAAUAGAGUGCUUAAUUGAACCAGGCCAUAAAGCGCGUACACACCGCCCGUCACUCCCCUCAAAUAUAUUUAAGGAACAUCUUAACUAAACACCCCAGUAUUUAUAUAGAGGGGAUAAGUCGUAACAUGGUAAGUGUACUGGAAGGUGCACUUGGAU
rnacentral:rRNA from 1 species